CAAGCAAACCUCAGUCACAGUGGCGAGUACCACUGCACGGGAUUUAUCGGGCAGACAGUUCACUCAUCACAGCCUGUGACCAUCACUGUCCAAGGUCCGGCAAUUCUAUUCAUCUUUCCACCUUGGUAUCAAAUCACUUUCUGCCUGGUGAUGGCGCUCCUUUUUGCAGUGGAUACAGAGCUGUAUUUUUCUGUGCAGAGAGACCUUCAAAGCUCAGCGGGAGACUGGAAGAACUGCAAAGUCGGAUGGAGUCAAGGCCCUCAGGAUAAAUGACCCCUCAUCCCACGCGUAACAGCAGUGGCAGCAGCAUCUCUUCAGGCCAUAACUUUCCUCUUCCCCUGGCCCCACCUUGACAGCAACGUGGGCUAAGGAGCCUCCAGGGAAAGAAAAGGCCUGUGAUCUCCAGAGCUAAAAUCCUAAUAGGCCCUACCUUCACUGAUUUCCCUAAGGCCAAGGCACAGUCACAGCCCACCCAGCUCUACAAGGACUCAGAGCAAAUGUGUUUUCACAGAUCCUUGACAGAGGUUCCUCAAAUAUAUGAAAUCUCAGGAAAUCCUGCUUCUACUUUCAAAAUAAAUCCAACAAUCCUACCACUUCUCAGUACUCUACUACUAGCAUCUUGGUCCAAGCCACCAUCAUCUCACUUGAAAUACUGCAGUAGCCUCCUGACUGCUCUCCCUGCACUCACCCAUGACACCUGACAGUCCAUUCUCACCAUAACAGCCAAUGUGUGUUGUAUCUGUCACGUCUUUUCUUGAAGCCGUGCAAUAGCUUCCCUCUUGCAUUCAAAGUAACAGCUAAAGCCUUUGUAAUGUUCUACAAGGCACUACAUUAUCUUGUUCCUCAAUGCCUCUCUAACCUCAUCUACUGCUCUCCCUUUGCUUCCUUGAACUCUUCAAUUAUACUUCUGCUACAGGUUUAUAUGUUAUUUACUGUUUCUGAAAUGUUCAUUCUUACAGAUGUCUACAUCAUGCUUCAUCAUGGUCUUUACUCAAAUAUCAUGUUAUCAGUGAGGUCUCCUUGAUCAUUCGGUAUAACCCCACUCCUCCACCAUCUCCUAAUCCCGCUCUCCUGUAUUUUCCCCAUUGUACUCAUCACCAACUGGAGUACCAUAUGUUCACUUAUUUAAUUGUUUACUGCUGUAUUCUCCCCUAUUGUAUGUAUCACCAACUGACUACCCCCUCUCCCGUUAGAAUAUGCCCCAGGAGAGCAGGGCCUUUGUCUGUUUUGUCCACUACCAUAUACUUAGAGUCAAGGUCAAUGUCUGGCACUUGAUAAAGCACUCAAUACAUAUUUGUGGAAUGAGUAAAUUCUUUAGCAUUUGAAAUUAGAGACAUUUUUAGGUACAUCUACUCCAUCUUCCCAGAAGCAGAGGUCCAAUUCAAUACUAUUGAACACCCUAUUAGAUACUACCCAAUACAUACCACUAGUACAUACAUUUCAGCUUUGAAUAUAUUUGCCUAAACUCAGUAUUAUUUACUUUCACCCAUCACAUCUUUUAAAGUAGUAUAUCAGUUGGACCUACUCCCCUUUAAUUGAAUUGACUUCCUAAGCCUGUAGAGUAGCAUUGUGAAAAGCAUACUGAAAAGAGAGCCAAACAACCUGGAUUUGUGUUUCAUUUCUACAUUUGCUAGCUGGUUUGUCUUGAAGAAUUCAUUCAACUAUUUUCUGAAUUAGAUUCUUCUUCUGUAAAAUGGUAAUGUCUUUAUCUCCCUCCCCAGGGAUAUCGUGUGAGGUUAAAGUGUAACAACAUAUAUGGAAGCAUAAUGUCUUUGGAACAUAAUAGGCGUUUAAUAAAUGCUCAUGGAACCUGA